rnacentral:sRNA from 1 species
AAAUAAAAUUUUAAAAAAUGAAGUAGGGACUUCACUCUUUCACUUUAUUGCUCUUUUUCUUUUUCCAUUUUUGUAUCUUUCUUCCUCCACUUGUGUUAUAUUUUUUUGAGAUUAAGUCUCAUAUUAUGUAGUUUUGGAUGCCUUAAACACGUGUUGGAAUGUGUUUUUUCCCAGUUGUAACUCAUCAUCUUAUGUUCAGAUUUUAUAUAAGUUCCUCAUUGAAAUAUAUGUUCUAUGAUGAUAUUAUUUUCACCGUUUAUUUCUUAUUCACUCAAACACUUCCAUUUUUAAGUUAAAACUUAAGUGUAAAGAAUGUUCUGAUAACAUACUUCUAUAGUUUUUAAGGACCUUUUCUCCUGAGAUCUGUGAGUUCACUUAAUAUUGUAUAUUUUACAUAUAUCUUUCUGCAAAUUUUCUGAUUUAAUUUUUCUUAAGACCUGAAUGCCUAUCCCACAGUAUAAAUCUUAACAAAUUUACCAAAUGUCCAUUGUUGCUUCCUUCAUCCACUAGGUUUGCUUCAUUUCCUUGGUCAUAUACCUUUUUUAUGAUAGUGUGUGGCUUCUCUAUGUAUAUGCUUAGGAGAUAAAUAGCUGGGAUAUACACUAGUUAUAUCUUUAAUUCUGUUUUUUUUAAUAGUAAAACUGUACCACUGAAUGUAGCACAGUUUAUUCAAUGCCCAUACCAAUCAGCGGAAUGCAAAGUUGAAGUCCUUUGAGAUACUAGAUUACAUCAGUCCAAAUUAUUGUCAUGAAGCAAUAUGAAAGUAUAUGGAUGAAGAAGUAUGGAUGUUAUACACUGAUGAUAUGGUUGCAAAUUAAUAGUUAUUGUGGAUUUUUCUUUUUUAACCUUUCCAAUUAUACUUUGUGUCUCAUAUGCACAGACACUGUGGAAAUCACAGAUAGUCACUGAAAAACUUAUCAUUGCCUACCUAAUGAAUGCACACAGCUGCUCUCUGGGAAGAGAUCCCCUUAGGAUAGAUCUCUCAAACAGAUACAGUUCUGAUUCUGUCAUUGUAGGUCUUGUAUUAAGUUGUGCAUUCUUCAUGGCAUUGUCAGCCCUAAAAGUUGCGUAGGCAGAACAUUGAAAUUCCUAUAGCAACUCUGUAUGUGAAGGGCCUCGGUACCAGAGCACUUUAAUUGCACUGAAGACGUUGAGGGCAGACUAUAGUAGGAAAAUGUGUCUUUCCCUUAUUUUCAGUUUGUUACAAUACCUUCCUUACUUCUCUUUCCACAGGUUUAUAUUCUUUGGAAGAACUGAGUCUUAAUGUGAAUUAUUCUGAGGAAUAGAGGCAGAAUGGGUUGAAACAUGCAGUCCUCAGGGAUUUAGUCAGUGAAGGAAGUGCUUAUUGUCAAGCAAGGUGUUGUUGAAGAUAGCCCAGAGACAUCAUCACAUGAAUUUUAAGACUCCAAAAGGGGAUGCUUUCUUUAAUGUUUGAUUUAGCGGUCCAACAGGGGCAUUGUAUGUGUCAAAAUAUGUUGAGAAACUGAAGACUCAGAAGUCUAUAGGUGUGUGGAGACACCAGAGAUAAGAAAACUUUUAUGAAGGUAAUGGAUUACAGUCUUCUAAGAAAGAUUAAUUGUGAUAGAAAGGAGACAGGCCAACAGACAGAUACAAAGAAACAGAGGGACAAAGCAAUAGCAGAAAAACAAAGAGUCAGAGACAUUUCUAGCACCAUAACCCUAGAUGGUAUGAACAAUAUGGAUAAGGAGAUAGAAGGGCAACCAGUGCAUCAGGUUGACCAUUCCCCAUAAAACAAGGCAGAGAAUUGUUCACACAUUGGUGAUAAUGACAACAUGGAGGAAUACUUCCGAUUAAAUGUGAUGUUUUGGAGGCAUAUUUUAAUUAGGGGAUAUACUUAGCUUCUUGGAUAGCACAGGUCAGUGAAACCCAGUAAGCUUGUCUUUGGAAAUGCCAUCAGUGAACCAAUAUUGAAAAGGAGAGACAUUGUCAGAAGAUGACCAUUGAUGGUAAUUUAAUACUCAUUUGCUGUGGUUGGAAGUAUUUGAUAUAUUAGAAACCUUAUGAAAUCAGUGACUACAGUCAAAAAAAAAAGGUACAAAGACAUUGCUUUAGGCCAGACAGGGAGAAAACUAGAGAGUAAGACAUUGACACUAAUGUACUUACAGAAACCCUUGGGGAAAACACUGGCAUUGCUGCAUGAUAGGAGGGUUUAGGUAGAUCAUGUGAAGGAAAAGAAUAGGUGUUACUUGGUGUUCCCAGUCAGAUUGGAGUAUUGCAACACCACCAUGAUGUAUCCAUUUUCUGUAGAGAAUGUAUGUGCUUUAUGUUUUCAUCUCAAGGUUUACUCCCAUGAGUCAUACCUUCAGUCCAAUAAGAGGAAGAACAAAUCAUUUAUGAAUUGAGGAAUGCACCUAGUAGUGCCUCAUGCAAUGUGGUUCAAGGUGCUGGACCCACAGAAAAAAGUAAAGAUUACAGGUAAGCAUUAUUUGAAUUCCCCAAAUUGUUCAUUACUCUUAAGGUUUUGGUAGAAGUGCUAUGACCUAAAAUUCCACAAACCUUGUCAAAUCUUAACAUGUCCCACAUUUAAAGUUUCUGACAGUUACUACCAUUGGAAAGCAAGACACCUUUACUCCUGGAUGCGUAAGGUCUUAAAUUUCAACAUACUUAUCAUAUAUCUCCAGUUUUAAGAGUGUAAUGACCACCUGAUUGCAAGCAUCCAUUGGCUAGUUAGCCAAAAUGGUAACUUCCUGUCAAACAUUCAUUUGUAAGAGCUUGACAAAAUAAGUGAAUAUUCAUUAUCACCAUUCUAAUAAUGACUGAAAUGCAGCACAUUUACUGAUUCAAGUACUUUACAAGUCAGGCAGCUAUUUCUAAAUCAUUGCACUGCCUUUGCUGACCACCCGGUUUGGCAAAGUUGUCUUACAGAAAGACCUAAGUUUUUAAAUUUUUACAUUUUUUUGGUAAACAAAUAUGUUUGUAGUAAGUGAGCAUAAUUUGAUUACAUAGGAAUCUCCCUGUGGUAUUGUUGCUAUGCAGGCAAGAGUGGGAUGAAAUGAGAGAACAGAGUCACAGACACCAGCAGCAGAUGCACAGUUACUUCCUUCUCAAAGUAUGUAUUUUCUGUAUGAAUAUGUUAUCAGGCCUGAGUUUAGUACUAACCAUGGAGUAGAAGUCAAAGAAAUACAUAGAAAUAAGACUCUGUCCUAGAAUUUGCUAUAUUGUGACUGUUAUCAGUGUAAUCCACAGUGGUGAGCUACAUCUGCUUUGGUAAUGAGUAGAAGUACUGUGGGUCCCUGAAGGUCAGAACGUGAUUUGGAAGCCACAGUUGAAAAGAGAACAAGAGACCAUUUGUGAAGUUGGUGAAGGCUGGAUGGACUAUGCUGUGGGGCAUAGGAUCUUUGGUCCAGUGUUUGGAGUGUUUUAUUUUAAUUUCCAAGACAUUUCUGUAAGUAAAUGUGCCCUUUGUGUUGUUGACAAACUAAAAGUAGUUCAGUGUACCAACUUAGAAAGAGCAAGGGUGACAACUGUUAGACAUGGAAGGCAUCUAAUUCCCAUGUUUGCUUCCCUGACUUACACCUAUAGAUGUGCACCUAGAAUUUAGUCUUGGAUUUCAGAGUAAACAGGUAAAAUAUUGAGUUCUGUAUAACUUUGUAUGAUACAGGUGUGUAAAUCAGUAUAGAAAGAAUUGUUUAGCAACAUAACAUAGUCAUGGUAGUUCUAUGGGAAUCUUUGACGCACCAAAAUGGCUUCCACUAGGAAGCUGGCAAAGCAAAGAUGUGAGAGUGCUAGAUAUGGAAUUGCUAGGGUCAAUGACUUUCUGACCCAUUACAUUGUGACAGUACAUGUCUUGAAAAAACCUUAAAAAUGUAGAUGGUUGCCAUAGUGAGACUACAUAAUAAUGUGGACCUCAGAAUAGUGAUAUAUCUAUAUUUUCAUAUUUUUGGGCCUUGAACCUAUUUCUGUCUUGUUCUGACCCUUUUUAUUAUGAAGAGUGCCUGAGGGUUGCCUGAGUUCACAGAGGAAGUCAAUGAAAGCUGCUGAGUCCAGCUAUUUGGAAUUCAUUACUCCUUUCUCAUUCUUAAAACUUGGAGGCAAGAUUUGGGUGAGAGGAUGGAAAUGUUUUCUAUUUUCCAUCACACUCAUAGAAUGCUGGAGGGUCUCUUUUAGGUCUUAGUGAACUUUAUAAGAAGAAUGGCAACAUAAUGUGUUAUACUCUGAAGUUUUGGUGAUGUUUCCUGAAGGAUUGCAUGGUCUCCAGUUUGGUAGCCAUUUUAAUAAAGUGUUUAAUGGCAUGCAUAUUGGUAGAUAGGUAUAUAGAAAGAAAGAAAGAAAGAGACAGAUAUAUAAAAAACGAAUAGAGGUUAGUUCAUACAGCCUCAGAAAGUAUGCCACCUACUGCUAGGAAACUGGAAUGAUAAUGGGUGAAAAAUUCAAACACACUUGUUUAAAGUUUCUCAGCAUGUAUUGAAAAUUAUGGCUUCAUAAGAGUGCCUGUGGUCUUUCUGAAUGUUUAGGUAGCUAUUUUAGAGUGGCUUGAUGUGCUGUAUAUCUUCGGAUUAGUUCUAUUAUUCCAGACAUGUACAAAGGCUAUCCUGAAGGCAAGGAAGGAAGAUAGGAUUAGGCCAAGUUCUUGAUAAUAUUAUGACACUAUACCCAAGGAAACCCUAGAAAAAAAACCCUCAGUGACUUUGCAAGUAUGUGAUAUGGGUUUGAGGAAGGUCAGACAUGACCCUCAGGUUCAGACCCAGAUACACACCAAUUUUCAUUUGGCCCUCUGUAACUGAGGUAUGUGCUUUGAUCUGUCUUCUCAGGGUCACAUUCUGUGGGGCCUGAAGACACAGUGCAGAUAUCCAUGGUUCACAUCUUUGGAUGAGAAGUUGUUUGGUGUGUCUGUCUUUCCUGAGAACAACUGGAGUUUACAGGGUCACAUUCCCCACCCAGAAUGGGCCAUGGUUGACAUCCAGAGAAAGUGGCCCCACAGAAUUGAAGCAUGGCUGACUGCACCCAUCUGAUCUUCUGGUGAAGCCUUUUGUGGAUACUGACUUGCUCGAAGGCUCUAGACAGCAUAGGGUCACAUUCCUCACCCAGAAUGGGCCAGGGUUGACAUCCAGACAAAUUGGACCAACAGCAUUGAAGGAUGGCUGACUGCACACAACAGACCUUCCAGUGAAGAUUUUGUGGAUACUGACUUGCUCGAAGGCUCUAGACAGCAUAGUCUCUCCACGUAGUGGGCCAGCAGUUCUUAUUGAUUGACUGUAACAAAGAAGAUCUGGAAAAAUAUCUAGUCCUCUUCUAGGAUCUAAGAAUGUAAGCCUGCAAGUAUGUUCUUAAACACAGUCCUUUUAGGAAUGUAAUAUUUUGGUAUGGCCAAAAAAGAAAUGUAUGGAGUGUCUAUGGACAUUGAGUAUUAAUGUUUGUUAUAGGCAUAGAAUCAUGCUGUUUAUAAUUUUAUAGGUCGCAGUGCUUACAGGUUAUGCUUGUGUUUGGUGACGUAAGAGGGUUUGAACAGAUACUUUCUCUGUGGUGAUCAAUGUCAGAUACCACAGCAAUAGGACUCACAUGAAUUUAGUACCAGUAAAAACCUGAAUUGGAGAUAUAUGAAGAUAGACAGAGAAAGAGACAAAGAACAAUUUUUGAAGAGGCAAAUCAUGUGGGAGAUACAGGAAUACAGAGAGAGACAGAGACAGAGAGAGACAGAGAGAGGUGAAGUGGAAAGAGGACACUGUGAUAUUAAGGCAGAUACCUUGAUUGACAGAAAUAAGGAAACCAAAGACAGAGACUGAGAGUGAGAAAGAGAGAAGCAGGGAGAGUCACUGCAAGACAAUUUCAGAGAGAAAAAGAAGAAGAGAGAUAGAGACAUAGUACUUAAUUAGUCCAUUCAACUAAUGCAGAUGAGAAUAGUAUGUGAUGUUGAAUAGGGUCACAUCGAAGGCAGAGUAGGACUAAUUGGUGUAGUAUGUCAUGAUUAAUGGAGGGUGCUCAGUUAUGGCCAAAGCUAUUAAGAUUCUGGUGGUUUCCAUGGGAAGAGUAAGGCCUGAUUGUCUCUGGAAUAUCCAGCUGAACUAAGAUUUACUUAUUUUUGUAGGCACCUUCCAUUGAGCCUGGUUAGUGGUUUCAUUCUGUUGUGUACCUUGUGCUAAUUUUUUGGAUGGUUCUCAAGUGAUGUUCAUACUACUGUAGUUUUCAGGAUCAGAUAUUGGCUUCGUCCCAUUUUAAGGACUUUGUUCCAUGGUAACCUCCAGGUAUUCGGUGUUCUAAUUGGAAACUUACGUACCCAAACAGUUACUUGGGGAAAAAAUAUCUUUGAUAUGGAUUGUGAGGGAAAAGUUCUAGAGAGGGAAGUUGUGCUGAGAGCACCCAAGUGUUCGAUAAAUUAUGAACUAACCACAAUGCAUCACAGUCUCCAUGAUUUGCAAAAAAUCCAAUAAAGUGGGGGAAUGUGCUAUUUGCUUUACUUUCAGGGACAUAGUCCCUGUCGCAUACUGGACAACAUGGCUUUCAGAGGAAUAGAGUACGAACAUCAGAUGAAGUUUGAUGAAGCCUAAUAUUGCCUGCCCUGAAGUCAUCAGUUGAAGCUCUCUUGCCUGAGGAAACAUGAAGUGAAAGGGACAGAGUCCCUGUCUCAUACUGGACAAGGACGGCUUGCAGAGGAACUGAGUAGGGAACAUCACAUGAAGUUGGAAGAAGCCUAGCAUUGCCUGCCCUGAAGUCAUCAGUUGAAUCUCUCUUGCCUGAGGAUACCUGAAGUGAAAGGGACAGAGUCCCUGUCUCAUAACGGACAAGGACGGCUUGCAGAGGAACUGAGUAUGGAACAUCAGAUGAAGUUGGAAGAAGCCUAACAUCGCCUGCCCUGAUGUCAUCAGUUGAAGCUCUCUUGCCUGAG